AGCCCAGGCUGGGUUUUCCAGGCAGCGAGGCCCAGUAGAGGCUGAAGGUGGGGGAAGGGGUUGCUGAGCCCCCAGGGCCGGGUGUCAGAACCUCCUCAACCUCUACCGGAGAGGUGCCUGCCGGUGCUGCCGUGGGCCACACCAGUUCUGAGCCACUACUGCUGGGUGUCUGCUCCUGGGGUACCUGCUGGCCCUGAAUCACCCCUCUGGAUUCCUGGGACUCCAGGAACUUUGGGAUCCAGAGAAGCGAGCUCUUCCAUCCCAGGACCCAUGACUGCCCACGCUGUUGAGCUUCUGAGGGCAGGGACCAUGUUUUCUCUCUCAGAGCCAGGGCUGCAUGUUGGAACUGGCCCUGACAGUGUCAGUUAAACUUUCACGAAACAAAUGUUCCUGAACUUGAAGCCAUAGGACAGGACUCUGAAGAUCACAGAAUCACACAGUGAGAAAAUGAUGCCCUUUUCAGCUCUGCACCAGUCCUUCUCAUGACAGAAAGGAGAGUGUCUCGGGUUGGUUCGAGGAUGUCUUUAACCCCUCUCAUCGUUGCCCGUCUCGACACAGAACCAAGAACAGGCGGGUCCUAGACUCAGACUCUAGUGGACGAAUGUGUCCAGCAAAAGUAACAGCAUUACUUUAUUUUACAAUUAUCUUCAACGUAUACCAAGUGAUACUGGUUUUCCAUUUAUAAUGGCAAUGUAGCUUCCCUUGAGUUUGUUUUAAAUUUUAAUUCAAUUUCAGACAUACGGAAAAGUUGCGAGCAUAGUAGAGUUCCUGGAUGCCUUUCA
rnacentral:lncRNA from 1 species